rnacentral:lncRNA from 1 species
UUUGAUAUAUCAGAACCGUUCAUCCACCUAUUAUGGGCAAGCAUAACGUGUUCUGAUAAACAUGCAUUUUUACCUCUUGGUGUGUCAUUUUGUAUGCUUAGUUGUGAGGAUUUUGUGUGUUUGGUGGUCUAUUUGAGCUUAUAUUCGUUUAUGGUCAAGAACUUGUUACUUGCUUGUGUUUGAACGAAUUUUCAGAAAUAAUGAAGCAGAAUUUGGAAGAAUUGGUUGAAAUACAAGUUUUAGUUCGUCUCGAGAGGAGUUCGUGAGCGCAAACGGAUCAUAAAUCGGAGUUCGGACGAGAGAGAACGAGCCAAAACAAAAUCACUGCGCAAAGCUGUCAGGAGUUCUGUUUCGUCACGCGGGCCAGCCAUGCAGCCGCGCGACGUGGCCGCGCGAGUCGCCGUAUUUCCGCCCAAAAUUCAUUUUUUUUAGCGAUUUUGGGUAUUUUUGAGAGCUACAGACCUAGGGCAUAUAAAUACUUCCCAAGAACUUAUUCUCUGCAACUUUUAUCAGCUUGUAUCAUUUUUUACUUUUCCUGAGAGCUGUGAGAGACGG